UACGUAUGGUGCAAGCGUUAUCCGGAUUUACUGGGUGUAAAGGGAGCGUAGACGGAGUGGCAAGUCUGAUGUGAAAACCCGGGGCUCAACCACGGGACUGCAUUGGAAACUGUCAAUCUAGAGUACCGGAGAGGUAAGCGGAAUUCCUAGUGUAGCGGUGAAAUGCGUAGAUAUUAGGAGGAACACCAGUGGCGAAGGCGGCUUACUGGACGGUAACUGACGUUGAGGCUCGAAAGCGUGGGGAGCAAACAGG
rnacentral:rRNA from 1 species